rnacentral:lncRNA from 13 species
UAAAAGCUGUCGCAAUGAUCCCCAAAGCCUUGCAGAUCCUGGCUCCCACUUCCCUUGUCCUUCCUCUGACCUUGACACCUUCUAGGUCUCUCCACCCCAGCCACCAUAACUGACUUGCCUUUCUUCCAACUCUCUGCGCAUGCCGGGAAUACUGUUUUUUCAGCGAUCCUGUGGUUCAUUCCCUCUCUUUAAUGUGUCUGAAUGUUGACUUGUCUGUGAGCUCUUCCUUCACUUCUCUUUUUGGUGGUACAAUGCUGCUUUCCAGCCGGACGCUCCCUGUAGCUCUUUCAUGUUUCAUUUUCCUCCGUAGCACUUAUCACCUUUUGCCAUAGUAUAUCAUUCAUUCCCAUUACUUUGUUUACUGAUUCCCUGCAGCCUUCCCUCCACUCCCCUCAAUGGACUGUAAGUUUUAUGAGUAGCAUUUUUCUGAACUAAUAGAUUUAUUUUUCAAAGUAGUUUUAGGCUUACAAAAAAAUUGAGCGGCAAGUAUAUACUGCUGUAACCUCAACAGUUCCUCCUGUAUUCACACCCUGUGAAGUGUUCAUUUCCUGCAGCACUCUUGAGAAGCAACCACAGUCCGAAGCCCAUCAUCUUACACAAAGGAUCUAUACUGCAGAGGUGGCACACCAUCUACCUGUGUUAUAAAAAUGGUACCAGUUUAGAGCAUGCACAUUACUUCAGGAAAAUAAAGUUCGGGUCACUGUAUUGUCUGAGCACCUUUGGUUAAGAGAAAGGAAGCCUAAACUGAAGGACCCCUUGGAAGCAGCCCUGCAAGGGAGUGGCGUGACCUGCACUAACAUACACCUCAGAUGGUGUGUCUCUUAGAUGCUGGUCCUGGCUGCCUGCUUGUGGAGCCCUGAGUGGGACAAGGCUCUGGACAGUGUCACUCCAGGCUGGAGUGCAGUGGUGCAAUCACAGCUCACUGUGGCCUUGACCUCUCCUGGCUCAGGUGAUCCUCCCACCUCAGCCUCCCAGGCAGCUGGAACUACAGGUAUGCAUCACCGUGCCUGGCUAAUUUUUUGUACUUUUUGUAGAUAUGGGGUUUCAACGGGUUGCCUAUCCUGGUCUCAAACUCUUGGGCUCAAGAUGUGCACCUGCCUCGGCCUCCCAAAGUGCUGGGAUUACUGAUGGGAGCCACUGUGCCCAGCCUUGAACAUUUCUACCUAUUUAUACUUUUAAAUUCAGAGACUAGUAGCUUCUGAGAAG